GACGAACGCUGGCGGCGUGCUUAACACAUGCAAGUCGAACGGAAAGGCCCUGCUUUUGUGGGGUGCUCGAGUGGCGAACGGGUGAGUAACACGUGAGUAACCUGCCCUUGACUUUGGGAUAACUUCAGGAAACUGGGGCUAAUACCGGAUAGGAGCUCCUGCUGCAUGGUGGGGGUUGGAAAGUUUCGGCGGUUGGGGAUGGACUCGCGGCUUAUCAGCUUGUUGGUGGGGUAGUGGCUUACCAAGGCUUUGACGGGUAGCCGGCCUGAGAGGGUGACCGGCCACAUUGGGACUGAGAUACGGCCCAGACUCCUACGGGAGGCAGCAGUGGGGAAUAUUGCACAAUGGGCGGAAGCCUGAUGCAGCAACGCCGCGUGCAGGAUGACGGCCUUCGGGUUGUAAACCGCUUUCGCCUGUGACGAAGCGUGAGUGACGGUAAUGGGUAAAGAUGCACCGGCUAACUACGUG
rnacentral:rRNA from 1 species